rnacentral:lncRNA from 1 species
UUCAACUGAAGAGCGCAUGAGACAUAUUAUCUAUUACCGUCAUAACGUAGAUAAUAUACUCGCAUGGAAGAUUAUCCACAACUGAUUACUAGGUUAAUGAAGGAUAAUUCGACCGAAAAGAAAGGACAUCAGGAUACCGGUUACUGGGUGUGAAAUGAUGACCAAUCCGAAGGAGAAACUAUCAUUAACAAACAAGGCUAAAUGAAAGAUGACUAGCAAGGGAUA